ACUCAAGUAGUUUAAUGGUGCGGGAAAACAGCAUGGCGGAGCACAGUUGAUGUUCUUGAAGUGAAGAUGAGGGUUCGAAUCCUUCUUUGAGUA
rnacentral:tRNA from 1 species